UACGUAGGGGGCAAGCGUUGUCCGGAAUCAUUGGGCGUAAAGAGCGUGUAGGCGGCUCGGUAAGUCCGCUGUGAAAGUCCAGGGCUCAACCCUGGAAUGCCGGUGGAAACUGUCGAGCUAGAGUCCGGAAGAGGCGAGUGGAAUUCCUGGUGUAGCGGUGAAAUGCGCAGAUAUCAGGAGGAACACCGAUGGCGAAGGCAGCUCGCUGGGACGGUACUGACGCUCAUGCACGAAAGCGUGGGGAGCAAACAGG
rnacentral:rRNA from 1 species